GACGAACGCUGGCGGCGUGCCUAAUACAUGCAAGUUGAGCGCUGAAGGUUGGUACUUGUACCAACUGGAUGAGCAGCGAACGGGUGAGUAACGCGUGGGGAAUCUGCCUUUGAGCGGGGGACAACAUUUGGAAACGAAUGCUAAUACCGCAUAAAAACUUUAAACACAAGUUUUAAGUUUGAAAGAUGCAAUUGCAUCACUCAAAGAUGAUCCCGCGUUGUAUUAGCUAGUUGGUGAGGUAAAGGCUCACCAAGGCGAUGAUACAUAGCCGACCUGAGAGGGGGAUCGGCCACAUUGGGACUGAAACACGGCCCAAACUCCUACGGGAGGCAGCAGUAGGGAAUCUUCGGCAAUGGACGAAAGUCUGACCGAGCAACGCCGCGUGAGUGAAGAAGGUUUUCGGAUCGUAAAACUCUGUUGGUAGAGAAGAACGUUGGUGAGAGUGGAAAGCUCAUCAAGUGACGGUAACUACCCAGAAAGGGACGGCUAACUACGUG
rnacentral:rRNA from 1 species